UACGUAGGUGGCAAGCGUUGUCCGGAUUUACUGGGUGUAAAGGGCGUGUAGCCGGGUUGACAAGUCAGAUGUGAAAUCCUGCGGCUUAACCGCAGAACUGCAUUUGAAACUGUUGAUCUUGAGUACUGGAGAGGCAGACGGAAUUCCUAGUGUAGCGGUGAAAUGCGUAGAUAUUAGGAGGAACACCAGUGGCGAAGGCGGUCUGCUGGACAGCAACUGACGCUGAGGCUCGAAAGCGUGGGGAGCAAACAGG
rnacentral:rRNA from 1 species